UUGAUCUUAGUUGCCAGCCAUUCCAGUUGGGCACUCUAAGGGUGACUGCCGGUUGACAAACCGGAGGGAAGGUGGGGAUGACGUCAAAUUCAUCAUGCCCCUUUAUGACCUUGGCCUACACACGUGCUACAAAUCGCCCGAACCAAAGGGGCAGCGAAACCGCGAGGUUAAGCCCAAUCCCCACAAAUCUGUUCUCAGUUCGGAUCGCAGUCUGCAACUCGACUGCGUGAAGCUGGAAUCGCUAGUAAUCGCGGAUCUGCAUGCCGCGGUG
rnacentral:rRNA from 1 species